rnacentral:rRNA from 1 species
GAUGAACGCUGGCGGCGUGCCUAAUACAUGCAAGUCGAGCGAACGGACGAGAAGCUUGCUUCUCUGAUGUUAGCGGCGGACGGGUGAGUAACACGUGGAUAACCUACCUAUAAGACUGGGAUAACUUCGGGAAACCGGAGCUAAUACCGGAUAAUAUUUUGAACCGCAUGGUGCAAAAGUGAAAGACGGUCUUGCUGUCACUUAUAGAUGGAUCCGCGCUGCAUUAGCUAGUUGGUAAGGUAACGGCUUACCAAGGCAACGAUGCAUAGCCGACCUGAGAGGCUGAUCGGCCACACUGGAACUGAGACACGGUCCAGACUCCUACGGGAGGCAGCAGUAGGGAAUCUUCCGCAAUGGGCGAAAGCCUGACGGAGCAACGCCGCGUGAGUGAUGAAGGUCUUCGGAUCGUAAAACUCUGUUAUUAGGGAAGAACAUAUGUGUAAGUAACUGUGCACAUCUUGACGGUACCUAAUCAGAAAGCCACGGCUAACUACGUG